UGCUGGAGGUAUCAGAAGUGCGAAUGCUGACAUAAGUAACGAUAAAGCGGGUGAAAAGCCCGCUCGCCGGAAGACCAAGGGUUCCUGUCCAACGUUAAUCGGGGCAGGGUGAGUCGACCCCUAAGGCGAGGCCGAAAGGCGUAGUCGAUGGGAAACAGGUUAAUAUUCCUGUACUUGGUGUUACUGCGAAGGGGGGACGGAGAAGGCUAUGUCAGCCGGGCGACGGUUGUCCCGGUUUAAGCAUGUAGGCGGAGGUUCCAGGUAAAUCCGGUACCUUAUUAACGCUGAGGUGUGAUGACGAGGCACUACGGUGCUGAAGUGAUAAAUGCCCUGCUUCCAGGAAAAGCCUCUAAGCAUCAGGUAACACGAAAUCGUACCCCAAACCGACACAGGUGGUCAGGUAGAGAAUACCAAGGCGCUUGAGAGAACUCGGGUGAAGGAACUAGGCAAAAUGGUGCCGUAACUUCGGGAGAAGGCACGCUGAUAUGUAGGUGAAGUCCCUGCGGACGGAGCUGAAAUCAGUCGAAGAUACCAGCUGGCUGCAACUGUUUAUUAAAAACACAGCACUGUGCAAACACGAAAGUGGACGUAUACGGUGUGACGCCUGCCCGGUGCCGGAAGGUUAAUUGAUGGGGUUAGCGGCAACGCGAAGCUCUUGAUCGAAGCCCCGGUAAACGGCGGCCGUAACUAUAACGGUCCUAAGGUAGCGAAAUUCCUUGUCGGGUAAGUUCCGACCUGCACGAAUGGCGUAAUGAUGGCCAGGCUGUCUCCACCCGAGACUCAGUGAAAUUGAACUCGCUGUGAAGAUGCAGUGUACCCGCGGCAAGACGGAAAGACCCCGUGAACCUUUACUAUAGCUUGACACUGAACACUGGUCCUUGAUGUGUAGGAUAGGUGGGAGGCUUUGAAGCGUGGACGCCAGUCUGCGUGGAGCCAACCUUGAAAUACCACCCUUUAAUGGCUGGUGUUCUAACGUAGACCCGUAAUCCGGGUUGCGGACAGUGUCUGGUGGGUAGUUUGACUGGGGCGGUCUCCUCCCAAAGAGUAACGGAGGAGCACGAAGGUUGGCUAAUCCUGGUCGGACAUCAGGAGGUUAGUGCAAUGGCAUAAGCCAGCUUGACUGCGAGCGUGACGGCGCGAGCAGGUGCGAAAGCAGGUCAUAGUGAUCCGGUGGUUCUGAAUGGAAGGGCCAUCGCUCAACGGAUAAAAGGUACUCCGGGGAUAACAGGCUGAUACCGCCCAAGAGUUCAUAUCGACGGCGGUGUUUGGCACCUCGAUGUCGGCUCAUCACAUCCUGGGGCUGAAGUAGGUCCCAAGGGUAUGGCUGUUCGCCAUUUAAAGUGGUACGCGAGCUGGGUUUAGAACGUCGUGAGACAGUUCGGUCCCUAUCUGCCGUGGGCGCUGGAGAAUUGAGGGGGGCUGCUCCUAGUACGAGAGGACCGGAGUGGACGCAUCACUGGUGUUCGGGUUGUCAUGCCAAUGGCACUGCCCGGUAGCUAAAUGCGGAAGAGAUAAGUGCUGAAAGCAUCUAAGCACGAAACUUGCCCCGAGAUGAGUUCUCCCUGAGAC
rnacentral:rRNA from 2 species